GAGUUUGAUCUUGGCUCAGGAUGAACGCUGGCGGCGUGCCUAAUACAUGCAAGUCGAGCGAACAGACGGGGAGCUUGCUCCCCUGACGUUAGCGGCGGACGGGUGAGUAACACGUGGGUAACCUACCUAUAAGACUGGAAUAACUCCGGGAAACCGGGGCUAAUGCCGGAUAACAUGUUGGACCGCAUGGUCCUACAGUGAAAGACGGUCUUGCUGUCACUUAUAGGUGGACCCGCGCCGUAUUAGCUAGUUGGUAAGGUAACGGCUUACCAAGGCAACGAUACGUAGCCGACCUGAGAGGGUGAUCGGCCACACUGGAACUGAGACACGGUCCAGACUCCUACGGGAGGCAGCAGUAGGGAAUCUUCCGCAAUGGGCGAAAGCCUGACGGAGCAACGCCGCGUGAGUGAUGAAGGCCUCGGUCGUAAACUACUGUUAUUAGGUAAGGAACAAAUAGUAGCAAGUAACUAUGCACGUCUUGACGGUACCUAAUCAGAAGACACGGCUAACUACGUGCCAGCAGCAGCCGCGGUAACC
rnacentral:rRNA from 1 species